rnacentral:rRNA from 1 species
AGUGAACGCUGGCGGUAGGCCUAACACAUGCAAGUCGAACGGCAGCACAGAGGAGCUUGCUCCUUGGGUGGCGAGUGGCGGACGGGUGAGGAAUACAUCGGAAUCUACUCUGUCGUGGGGGAUAACGUAGGGAAACUUACGCUAAUACCGCAUACGACCUACGGGUGAAAGCAGGGGAUCUUCGGACCUUGCGCGAUUGAAUGAGCCGAUGUCGGAUUAGCUAGUUGGCGGGGUAAAGGCCCACCAAGGCGACGAUCCGUAGCUGGUCUGAGAGGAUGAUCAGCCACACUGGAACGGAGACACGGUCCAGACUCCUACGGGAGGCAGCAGUGGGGAAUAUUGGACAAUGGGCGCAAGCCUGAUCCAGCCAUACCGCGUGGGUGAAGAAGGCCUUCGGGUUGUAAAGCCCUUUUGUUGGGAAAGAAAUCCAUCUGGUUAAUACCCGGGUGGGGUGACGGUACCCAAAGAAUAAGCACCGGCUAACUUCGUGCCAGCCGCCGCGGUAA